rnacentral:lncRNA from 1 species
UUUGGGUCCAACAUACCACUCUGCUCUCCUGAGGUUCAGACAGCUGGGUGGCUCUUGGGUAGACCAGGCAGUUAGUGGCACUGCAGGUAAGUCCAGUUUUGUCCCUGCCGGGGGGACAUAACGUACAAAGUUAUCUUAGCAGGAGCAUUCCCACUGCUUUUUGGUUCUGAAGUUUAGCAUCUAAGCCACAGUUCUAGAGAAAAUGGCUCGCUCACCUCUGCCUUUUCUUGGCAGCUCUGACAUGCUUCCUAGAAGGUUCUGUGAGAAUACCAGCUGCUUUGAUAAUGCAGUUGGCACUGUGGAGGCCGCACUGCCUUACCUCUCUAGAAAGCCCUUACCCCUCUGCCCCACUACCUCUUAUUGAUUUGGUAUUUGCUUGAAUGCUGGCACCGUGCUGCCUGUUGGGUGGGUGUAUAGGUGGUCGACCUGCAGUCUGCAGACAGCGGGGAGUGGUCACUAGGAGGGGCAACUAGGAUUCCCAGGCUCGUGUGCCUCUGGCUGGCCAUGGCUCCACCCUUCAGCCUGUUUGCCUCCCCUCGGGUCCAGCUGCUUUGUGAUUUUGCAGCAGACAGACUGGGAAGAAGUCAGCUCCUUGGGGCUUAUGUGAUGAUGGCUCUCGGGCUGAGGGAUCGCCUCACAGUGCUAGGUUCUCACAGCUUUUACACCAAUUCCAACUCACAGGAAAGACUCUCUGGAGCUUCAUAUCAAACACUUCUGUUAGGAACAGCAGAGCAAUUCAGAGUCUGAUAAAGGCUGGUGGCCUAUAUCACUGCCUGCCCUCAUGCUCAGGAGAGGUGACAUCGGUCACAGUCAGAGCACAAUGGUGGCAGAGCCCAAACUCAACCAGUGCUCCUGAAAUAAAUGCUGGAAGUGUAAGAGUUGUUGCCUGAUAUUCUGGCCCAGUCAAGGAGGGACUUGGGAAGGAGCCAUGAGCUUGGAUUUCUUGUUUCUAUUCUGUCUGAUGUACAAAGAAAAGGGUUUAGUUACGACAAAGCUAAAACAAAACUAAACUAAUGGUACGACUCUUACUGCAUGUGAAAGUUUCCGGCCUGAGGG